rnacentral:rRNA from 1 species
GAUGAACGCUGGCGGCGUGCCUAAUACAUGCAAGUCGAGCGAACAGACGAGGAGCUUGCUCCUUUGACGUUAGCGGCGGACGGGUGAGUAACACGUGGGUAACCUACCUAUAAGACUGGGAUAACUUCGGGAAACCGGAGCUAAUACCGGAUAAUAUUUCGAACCGCAUGGUUCGAUAGUGAAAGACGGCUUUGCUAUCACUUAUAGAUGGACCUGCGCCGUAUUAGCUAGUUGGUAAGGUAACGGCUUACCAAGGCAACGAUGCGUAGCCGACCUGAGAGGGUGAUCGGCCACACUGGAACUGAGACACGGUCCAGACUCCUACGGGAGGCAGCAGUAGGGAAUCUUCCGCAAUGGGCGAAAGCCUGACGGAGCAACGCCGCGUGAGUGAUGAAGGUCUUCGGAUCGUAAAACUCUGUUAUUAGGGAAGAACAAACGUGUAAGUAACUGUGCACGUCUUGACGGUACCUAAUCAGAAAGCCACGGCUAACUACGUG